GGAAUCUUCGGCAAUGGACGAAAGCCUGAUGGAGCAACGCCGCGUGUGUGAUGAAGGGUUUCGGCUCGUAAAACACUGUUGUAAGAGAAGAAUGACAUUGAGAGUAACUGUUCAAUGUGUGACGGUAUCUUACCAGAAAGGAACGGCUAAAUACGUGCCAG
rnacentral:rRNA from 1 species